rnacentral:rRNA from 1 species
CCUACGGGAGGCAGCAGUGGGGAAUUUUGGACAAUGGGCGCAAGCCUGAUCCAGCCAUGCCGCGUGUGGGAAGAAGGCCUUCGGGUUGUAAACCACUUUUGUCAGGGAAGAAACGGCUUUUUCUAAUACAGAGAGCUAAUGACGGUACCUGAAGAAUAAGCACCGGCUAACUACGUGCCAGCAGCCGCGGUAAUACGUAGGGUGCAAGCGUUAAUCGGAAUUACUGGGCGUAAAGCGUGCGCAGGCGGCUUUGCAAGACAGAUGUGAAAUCCCCGGGCUCAACCUGGGAACUGCAUUUGUGACUGCAUGGCUAGAGUACGGUAGAGGGGGAUGGAAUUCCGCGUGUAGCAGUGAAAUGCGUAGAUAUGCGGAGGAACACCGAUGGCGAAGGCAAUCCCCUGGACCUGUACUGACGCUCAUGCACGAAAGCGUGGGGAGCAAACAGGAUUAGAUACCCUGGUAGUCCACGCCCUAAACGAUGUCAACUGGUUGUUGGACGGCUUGCUGUUCUAGUAACGAAGACGUACGACGUAGAGUUAGACCGCCGUCGGGUAGGUACGGUUCCGGCGUAAGGUUAGGUUAAACGUACGAAGGAAGUUAGACGGCGNGAGACGNGCGACGGACGACGACGAGGGAGGAGG